UACGUAGGGGGCAAGCGUUGUCCGGAAUCAUUGGGCGUAAAGCGCGCGUAGGCGGCCCGAUAAGUCCGCUGUGAAAGUCAAAGGCUCAACCUUUGAAUGCCGGUGGAUACUGUCGGGCUAGAGUCCGGAAGAGGCGAGUGGAAUCCUGGUGUAGCGGUGGAAUGCGCAGAUAUCAGGAGGAACACCAAUAGCGAAGGCAGCUCGCUGGGACGGUACUGACGCUAAGGCGCGAAAGCGUGGGGAGCGAACAGG
rnacentral:rRNA from 1 species